rnacentral:rRNA from 1 species
UACGGAGGGUGCAAGCGUUAUCCGGAUUCACUGGGUUUAAAGGGUGCGUAGGCGGGUUGGUAAGUCAGUGGUGAAAUCUUCAAGCUUAACUUGGAAACUGCCGUUGAUACUAUCAAUCUUGAAUAUUGUGGAGGUAAGCGGAAUAUGUCAUGUAGCGGUGAAAUGCUUAGAUAUGACAUAGAACACCGAUAGCGAAGGCAGCUUGCUACACAAUAAUUGACGCUGAGUCACGAAAGCGUGGGGAUCAAACAGG